UGAGUAACGCGUGGGUAACCUACCCCAAAGUCCGGGAUAACAGCGGGAAACCGCUGCUAAUACCGGAUGCCUUUACCUUGGGGCAUCUUGAGGUAAAGAAAGGCAACGCUUUGGGAUGGGCCCGCGUCCCAUUAGCUAGUUGGUGAGGUAACGGCUCACCAAGGCGACGAUGGGUAGCCGGCCUGAGAGGGUGGACGGCCACACUGGGACUGAGACACGGCCCAGACUCCUACGGGAGGCAGCAGUAGGGAAUAUUGCGCAAUGGACGGAAGUCUGACGCAGCGACGCCGCGUGAGCGAUGAAGGUCUUCGGAUCGUAAAGCUCUGUCCUUGGGGAAGAAGGUCUUCGGACUUGACGGUACCCAAGAAGAAAGCCCCGGCUAACUACGUGCCAGCAGCCGCGGUAAUACGUAGGGGGCGAGCGUUGUCCGGAAUUACUGGGCGUAAAGGGUGCGUAGGCGGCCCUUUAAGUCGGAUGUGAA
rnacentral:rRNA from 1 species